AGGAGAAAUCCGCUGAAAGAUGGGUUCGCGUCUGAUUAGAUAGUUGGUGAGGUAACGGCCCACCAAGUCGACGAUCAGUAGCCGGACUGAGAGGUUGAACGGCCACAUUGGGACUGAGACACGGCCCAGACUCCUACGGGAGGCAGCAGUGGGGGGUAUUGGACAAUGGGGGAAACCCUGAUCCAGCGAUGCCGCGUGAGGGAAGAAGGUUUUCGGAUUGUAAACCUCUGUGGACAGGGACGAUAAUGACGGUACCUGUCAAGAAAGCCACGGCUAACUACGUGCCAGCAGCCGCGGUAAUACGUAGGUGGCGAGCGUUGUCCGGAAUUACUGGGUGUAAAGGGAGUGUAGGCGGGAAGGCAAGUCAGAAGUGAAAAUUAUGGGCUCAACCCAUAACCUGCUUUUGAAACUGUUUUUCUUGAGUGAAGCAGAGGCAAGCGGAAUUCCUAGUGUAGCGGUGAAAUGCGUAGAUAUUAGGAGGAACACCAGUGGCGAAGGCGGCUUGCUGGGCUUUUACUGACGCUGAGGCUCGAAAGCGUGGGGACCAAACAGGAUUAGAUACCCUGGUAGUCCACGCCGUAAACGAUGAUUACUAGGUGUGGGGGGAUGAACCCUUCCGUGCCGGAGUUA
rnacentral:rRNA from 1 species